UACAGAGGGUGCGAGCGUUAAUCGGAAUUACUGGGCGUAAAGCGUGCGUAGACGGUUAUUUAAGUCGGAUGUGAAAGCCCCGGGCUCAACCUGGGAAUUGCAUUCGAGACUGAAUAGCUAGGGUGCGGUAGAGGGAAGCGGAAUUUCCGGUGUAGCGGUGAAAUGCGUAGAUAUCGGAAGGAACAUCAGUGGCGAAAGCGGCUUCCUGGACC
rnacentral:rRNA from 1 species